GUCUGGCUUCUGUCACUUAGCAUCAUGUUUUCGAGGUUUAUCCAGGUUGUAACAUGUAUUGUUAUUACACCUUGGUCUAUGGCUAAAUAAUGUUCCAUUGUCUGUAAGCACUCCCAUCUUACAGAUGAGGAAACAGUCCCGAGGCGCUGAGACUCCCAGCUUGAGUCCACACCGGAGAGACAUGGUCCGUGCAAGCCUGCUCCCCAGAUGGCCCCAUCCUGGCACUGCCGUCUGGGAGGAGGCUGGACUGGACCCAGGAGUCAGGAUAACUUGGCAAAAAGGGGCUGUGGAUCUUGGGGCUGCAGGCAGGGAAACAUAGGGAUCUAUAGCCCACCAACACCUUCCAUGAGGCACAAGGGGAAAGUAACUGGACCAAGUCAAGGGCAACUCCAUGAGUUAAAGGGCACACAGGGGAACUCUCCCAUCCAGCCCUCAGCCAGCUCUCCAAGGAAGACUGGAGUAAGCCAGGGGCAGGUGCUGGCCAGCGUGCUUCUGGAGAACAAGUCCCAGAUGCUGCUCAACUUGGGGUCAGAGGAAGCCAAGAGGGGACCCCAGAGCCAUGCCUGGUCAGGCACAGCCCCUCCCCAGCAGUGAGUUUGUACCCACUGCCCACUUCGGGAGUGGGGGCUUGUCAUGACAUACAGUGAGCUAACAGAGGGUAUGAAGGGCCUCCUGGAGGGGGUGGGGUGCACAGGAAACUGCUCAACACCUUGGUGCCCUCCCCUGUGCACUCAGGUCUUGCAUGAGCUGCCUGUCCUGGAGGAAUCCUUGAAGGGGACAGACAGCACCAUCCUCCCUCACCUUUCUGCACAGAGUCCCAGGAACCUGAGCAGGGCAAAUGUUUUCACCACCCUGUUCUGAGAACAAAUUGAGCAGGCCUAUUAGCCCCAUAUUCCCACAUGUGGUCCUGGAGACUACGCUCCAUCCUGGAAAAUGCCAUAGAGGUCACUUUGGGCAUGCGGCACAGCGGCUGUCCGAGGGGGUGUGUUUAGGGCUGGACACCUUCCGGUCCAGCACAGGCCAUGAGGAGCAGGCGAGUGCCCUCUAGUGGCCUCUCCCGGCACGGGUUGCAUAGAGCCCCACUUCCCAAAGACAGCUCGCCUAGGAGCACAGGGACAAUCCCAGUCUCCUUCCUACAGGGUCUGGAAGCGUUGUGCAACUAACCCUCAAUUUUUUCAAAAGAAAAAAGGAAGUGAUAGAUCUACAUCAGAAGGUGUUACUAUUUCUAGUUCACAAAUGAAAAAGGGGUGGCCAGGCACGGUGGCUCACGCCUGUAAUCCCAGCACUUUGGGAGGCCGAGGCGGGUGCAUCACUUGAGGCCAGGAGUUUGAGAUCAGCCUGGUCAACAUGGUGAAACCCCGUCUCUGCUAAAAACACAAAAAUUAGCCAGGCAUGCUGGCAGGCGCCUGUAAUCUCAGCUACUUGGGAGGCUGAGGCAUGAGAAUAGCUUGAACCCACGAGCCAGAGGUUGCAGUGAGCCGAGAUUGCACCGCUGCACUCCAGCCUGGGCAACAAAGCAAGACUCUGCCUCAAAUAAAAACAAAAUAAAACAAACAAAAAAUACAAAUGAAAAAGAUACAGAACUUGGGUUUUUCAACUCAGCUGUGAUGGCAAACUUGUGCUGGUGUUUAGGCACUCGACUUUAACUGCUCAGAUUUUAACAAGAGGCUAUUUCCAACCAAAAGCGUAGCUUUUUCUCUCCUGUCUCCUGCUCCCAAGAGAGACUGCACUGUUGAGGAGAAAGCAGGGAAAUGGCUCUUCCUCCUCUCUGUGGUAAAAAGGAUCAAUGAUAAACUUUUCCUUAUCUUGUUAUACUUUACAAAGGCCUUUCACCUGUGUUAUCUUAUUUGCACGUCACACCAGCCCUGUGAGGGAGGAAGUAUUAGCCCCAUCCAAUAUGUAACUCCAAAGGUAGCUGUCCACUUAACUUCCAGCCCUGCAGCUACACAAGCCCCAUGGGACCAAACCCAAAUGAAGUCUCAAUAAAUUUAAAAAGAUAACUGUCAUAUAAAGUAUCUCCUUGGACCACAACAGGAUGAAGUUAAAAAAUCAAUAACAGAAAUAUAACUGAAGGCCGGUCGUGGUGGCUCACGCCUGUAAUCCCAGCAAUUUGGGAGGCCUCGGAGGUGGGCAGAUCACUUGAGCCCAGAAUUCGAGAACAGCCUGGGCAACAUGCUGAAACCCCAUCUCUACAAAAUAAUAAUAAUAAUAAUAAUAAUAAUAAUAAAUAAAAAAUAGCCAGGCAUGGUGGCGCACACCUGUAGUCCCAGCUACUCUUAGAGGCUGAGGUGGGAAGAUCAUCUGAGCCUGGGAAGGUUGGGGCUGCAGUGAGCUGUGAUCACACCACUGCACUCCAGUCUGGGCGACAGAGUGAGACCCUGUCUACAAAAAAAGAAAAGAAAAGGAAAUACAACUGGAAAAUUCACAAAUUUGUGAAAAAACAAUGCACUCUUAACCAAUGGAUCAAAGAAGACAUCACAAAGGAAACCAGAAAAUACCUAGAAAUAAAAGAAAAUGAAAACACAACAAAGCAAAAUGUAUGAGAUACAACAAAAGCAGCGCUAAGGAGAAAAUUUAUAGCUAUAAGUAACACAACAUAGCAAAAUGUAUGACAUACAAUAAAAGCAGUGCUAAGGUGGAAAUUUAUAGCUGUAAGUGUUUACAUUAAAAAACAAGAAAGAUUUCAAAUCAACAACCUAACUUUACAACUUGAGGAAGUAUAAAGAGAAAACCAAACAACCCAAUAUUUAAAUAAAUUUAAAAAGAUAACUGUCAUAUAAAGUAUCUCCUCGGACCACAACAGGAUGAAGUUAAAAAUCAAUAACAGAAAUAUAACUGGAGGCCAGUCGUGGUAGUCAAAAUAAAUAUUAGCAACAAAUGAAACUGAGAAUAGAAACACAAUAGAAAAGGCUGGGCACAGUUAUUCAUGCCUGUAAUCCCAGCACUCUGGGAGGCCAAGGCAGGCAGAUCACUUGAGCUCAGGAGUUCAAGACCAGCAUGGGCAACAUGGCAAAACCCCACCUCUACCAAAAAUACAAAAAAUUAGCUGGGCAUGGCGGUGUGUGCCUGUAGUCCCAGCUACUCAGGAGGCUGAAAUGGGCGGAUCGCUUGAGCCUGGGAAGCAGAAGUUGCAGGGAGCCAAGAUCAUGCCACUGCACCCCAGCCUGGGCAACAGAGCAAGACCCCAUUUCAGAAAAAGAAAAAGAAAAACAAUAGAGAUAAACCAGCGAAACAAAAAGUUUGUUUUUUGAAAUGAUCAACAAAAUUGAAAAACCUUUAGCUAGAUGGACUAAUAAAAGAGAGAGAGAAGCCUCAAAUUACUGAAAUCAGAAAUGAAAGUGGGGACAUUUGGCCGGGCGCGGUGGCUCACUCCUGUAAUCCCAGCACUUUGGGAGGCCAAGGCGGGUGUUAUCACCUGAUGUCAGGAGUUCGAGACCAGCCUGGCCAAUAUGGUGAAACCCUGUCUCUACUAAAAAAGUACAAAAAUUAGCCAGGCGUGGUGGCACAUGCCUGUAAUGCCCAGCUACUCAGGAGGCUGAGGCAGGAGAAUCUCUUGAACCUGG
rnacentral:lncRNA from 1 species